rnacentral:rRNA from 1 species
UACGUAGGGGGCGAGCGUUGUCCGGAUUUAUUGGGCGUAAAGAGCGUGUAGGCGGCCAGGUAGGUCUGCUGUGAAAACUCGAGGCUCAACCUCGAGACGUCGGCGGAAACCAUCUGGCUAGAGUCCGGAAGAGGAGAGUGGAAUUCCUGGUGUAGCGGUGAAAUGCGCAGAUAUCAGGAAGAACACCCGUGGCGAAGGCGGCUCUCUGGGCCGUGACUGACGCUGAGGAGCGAAAGCAUGGGGAGCGAACAGG